CAUGCCGCGUGAGUGAAGAAGGCCUUCGGGUCGUAAAGCUCUUUUGUCAGGGAAGAAACACCGGCUCUAACACAGUCCGGGAAUGACGGUACCUGAAGAAUAAGCACCGGCUAACUACGUGCCAGCAGCCGCGGUAAUACGUAGGGUGCGAGCGUUAAUCGGAAUUACUGGGCGUAAAGCGUGCGCAGGCGGUUAUACAGGACAGGCGUGAAAUCCCCGGGCUUAACCUGGGAAUGGCGCCUGUGACUGUAUAGCUAGAGUGUGUCAGAGGGGGGUAGAAUUCCACGUGUAGCAGUGAAAUGCGUAGAUAUGUGGAGGAAUACCAAUGGCGAAGGCAGCCCCCUGGGAUAACACUGACGCUCAUGCACGAAAGCGUGGGGAGCAAACAGGAUUAGAUACCCUGGUAGUCCACGCCCUAAACGAUGCUGACUAGUUGUUCGGGAUUUACAUCCUGAGUAACGUAGCUAACGCGUGAAGUCAGCCGCCUGGGGAGUACGGUCGCAAGAUUAAAACUCAAAGGAAUUGACGGGGACCCGCACAAGCGGUGGAUGAUGUGGAUUAAUUCGAUGCAACGCGAAAAACCUUACCUACCCUUGACAUGUCACUAACGAAGUAGAGAUACAUUAGGUGCUCGUAAGAGAAAGUGACCCAGGUGCUGCA
rnacentral:rRNA from 1 species